UGGACCCACAGGUGAAAAAUGAAACCUUUGGACUAAACUUCUAAAAUGACCCAAACCACAGGGACUAAAAUGGCAUUUAACUCUUAUUUAAAUAUUAGAGUUAAAAAGAGUUAAAUGCCAUUUUAGUUCAUGUGGUUUGGGCCAUUUUGCCAGUUUAGUCCAAAGGUUUCAUUUUUCGUCCGUGGGUCCA
rnacentral:pre_miRNA from 2 species